rnacentral:rRNA from 1 species
UUUAAAUUGAGAGUUUGAUCCUGGCUCAGGACGAACGCUGGCGGCGUGCCUAACACAUGCAAGUCGAGCGAUGAAACUUCCUUCGGGGAGUGGAUUAGCGGCGGACGGGUGAGUAACACGUGGGUAACCUGCCUCAAAGAGGGGGAUAGCCUCCCGAAAGGGAGAUUAAUACCGCAUAACAUUAUUUUAUGGCAUCAUAGAAUAAUCAAAGGAGCAAUCCGCUUUGAGAUGGACCCGCGGCGCAUUAGCUAGUUGGUGAGGUAAGGGCUCACCAAGGCGACGAUGCGUAGCCGACCUGAGAGGGUGAUCGGCCACAUUGGAACUGAGACACGGUCCAGACUCCUACGGGAGGCAGCAGUGGGGAAUAUUGCGCAAUGGGGGAAACCCUGACGCAGCAACGCCGCGUGAGUGAUGAAGGUUUUCGGAUCGUAAAACUCUGUCUUUAGGGACGAUAAUGACGGUACCUAAGGAGGAAGCCACGGCUAACUACGUGCCAGCAGCCGCGGUAAUACGUAGGUGGCAAGCGUUGUCCGGAUUUACUGGGCGUAAAGAGUAUGUAGGUGGGUGCUUAAGUCAGAUGUGAAAUUCCCGGGCUUAACCUGGGCGCUGCAUUUGAAACUGGGCAUCUAGAGUGCAGGAGAGGAAAGUGGAAUUCCUAGUGUAGCGGUGAAAUGCGUAGAGAUUAGGAAGAACACCAGUGGCGAAGGCGACUUUCUGGACUGUAACUGACACUGAGAUACGAAAGCGUGGGUAGCAAACAGGAUUAGAUACCCUGGUAGUCCACGCCGUAAACGAUGAUUACUA